rnacentral:lncRNA from 10 species
UUUCUAACAACAUUUACUUAAAAACAAAAUUCUUGUAUUCUUCAUGUAGGGUCAGUAUUCAAUUGCACAAAAAUAUGCAGCCAACUUAAGAACUAUAUAUAAGAUUAAGACACCUGGUAUUUCAUGGUAAAUGAUUAAAUUAACUAACACAGUUAUAUCCUGAACUUUGCCAUUAGGAAUGACAAUUUUGUUCGAUAUGCAUUGAGGAUUGUGGGUAAUCUAAACUGGUAUGAGCUUUUUCUCUUUGAAACUCAAACAGAAUUAAGGAACAGCAUUCUCUGCAAACAGAAUAUGGAGUUUGAGAACAGCCACAAAAAAUUCUCUUGUAGUAAGCUGAACUGCCCUAGGAGUACUCAGGAAUUAGACAACUCAGGAAUUAGAGAAUUAGAGAACUGGAGAAAUGAGGGGGCGUGGAUAGUAGGGAGAGAAAAAUUGAUUAAUUGAUUUACUAUAUUUUUCAAAUAGAAGUAUCUGGGAAAAUAAGACAAAACAAGCAGAGUUGUUUCUUUUUCACAGUGAAGCCCCAGAGGGGUGAAAGCUUUGUUCUCCCUGGGUAGCAAGCUCUUUUUUCACAUUUCCGACUGCAUAUUCCAUAUUUAUGAUGAUUUUUGGUCUCUCUGUUCCUGGCUUGCUAGGUGGCAAGGGCAGUUAGAGAAAAAAGGCAGAUUUAUGAAACACAGAAAAAUUUCUGACUGAAAUCAGGCUUGGAUUUGUGAAUCACUGUUUUUUCCCCCUGUGGUCACUCCUGUGAUGAGGUCAACUGCUUCAAUCCUUUAGGUUUUGUAGACAGGUUUCCGGAUUCCAGGAGUCCCAGAAGGUCCAGGGAGCGCUCCCCACAUUUUAGCCAGAAGUAAUUAACUAAAACAUAAAGGCCCCACUUUCUCUUUUCACACUUUGAGCCACAGAUCAUCUAAUUCCUAGCUUGAGACAUCAGAUUUCAGAUCAUUAGUGCAAAGCAUCUUCCACAGGAGGCAAUAAAAUGUCACUUUAUGUAACUCAGCUACAGUUACACUGCCUUCAGAAAGCAGGAAUCUCCCUGAAAACAAAUUUACAUGAAAACAGUCCCAUUGUUUGAGAAUUUAUGCAAAUGUUGCACAAAGGGGUUUGAUAGUGAUUUUAAAAACUUAAAUCUUUAUCACUGCCUCAAAGAUAUCCUGAGAAACUUGGUUACCUCUAAAGAAUUCCAUUGCACUUAUUUUUUAAAAUGCCUAUAAUAUAGAGUUGUUUUAAAAAUUUUCCCUAAACUCUAAACUUCUUUCUCAGCUUCAAAGCCUUCCGUAAUGAAUAUCCUAAAGAGAGCCUAGUGCAUAUUGGUUUAACACUUACUAGGAUCACUCAUUACUAGUUAAGAAAAUUGAAGAUAACAACCAUAGCACCAAGUAUUUUGAACAACAUAAAAUGUUUCUCCCGUGGGUGUAGCUCUUAGGGACCGCAUGGGGAUACACACCCCUCAGUGCUCAAUCAGCAAAAGAUGAAGCUGUAAGUGUCUCAAUCCAUGUUGAUUGACUCUGAACUCCCCAGUGUUAGGAAUCUGGAUGUGUCCAUUACUGCAUGUUCAAACAAUGAACUGCCUGCACCAGAAAUCUGAUUUCUGUAGAAAGACAUUAAGGGGCUGGGUGAGGAAUAGGGUGUCAACCAAACGUUGUGAUAUUUUCCUUUGAUUUUCACUUUCUUUAAAUUCUUUUCCAUUUACUACCUAGUGACUGUCUGGCAUUGGUACCCUCAGUUUCUUUUCUUCUGCUUUUCCUCCUAAUUCAGUGUGGAAGAUGAUCAAAGUAUGACAUUUCUUCUACCCCAGAGGCUGGCAUUUCUGCAGGCACAAAUGAGCUUGGUUUUCAAGCACUGCUCUUUGAACACAAGGAAUUCCUUUAAUGAUCACGCCGGACUAUAUAGACUUUGGAAUCAGACUCUUUGAAUUCCAGCUCUGCCAUUUACCAACUUUGACACUUUGGACAACGUCUCAUUCUGUCACCCAGGCUGGAGUGCAGUGGCACAAUUAUAGCUCACUGCAGCCUCAAACACCUGGGCUCAAGCAAUCCUUCCACCUCUGCCUCCUGAGUAAUUGGGACUACAGGCAUGUGCCACCACACCCAGCUAAUUUUUAAUUUUUAAUUUUUUUGUAGAGAUGGCGGUCUUGCUAUGUCACCCAGGCUGGUCUUGAACACCUGGCCUCAAGUGAUCCUCCGGCCUUGGUCUCUCAAAGCUCUGGGAUUACAGACAUGAGCCACUGCACCCGGCUCUAUCUCCCCUUCCUAUGUGUGUUAGCUCUAGAACAAGAGAAGCCUUGUUGAGAUUCCUGGCUGCCCACCCCCCAUCACCUCUCUGACUUUGGGCAAGUUGCCUGGCCUCUCUCAGCCUUUAUUUUCUUUUUGUGAAAUGGGGAUAAUAAUAGUACUUGCCUCAUAGGCAAAAUGUUGUGAGAACUAAACGAGAAAAUGCAUGUAAAGCACUUGGCACUUAGUUCUUUUUAUGAUUAUAAUGAUAAUCAGACACAAUAAAUUAUGUCUCACAUC